rnacentral:rRNA from 1 species
CAGCAGUCGCCACGGUAAAACGGAGGGUGCAAGCGUUAAUCGGAAUUACUGGGCGUAAAGCGCACGCAGGCGGUCUGACAAGUCAGAUGUGAAAUCCCCGGGCUUAACCUGGGAACUGCAUUUGAAACUGUCAGGCUGGAGUCUUGUAGAGGGGGGUGGAAUUCCAGGUGUAGCGGUGAAAUGCGUAGAGAUCUGGAGGAAUACCGGUGGCGAAGGCGGCCCCCUGGACAAAGACUGACGCUCAGGUGCGAAAGCGUGGGGAGCAAACAGGAUUAGAUACCCCUGUAGUCCCUGUCUCUUAUAC